GUAGGGAAUAUUGGGCAAUGGACGCAAGUCUGACCCAGCCAUGCCGCGUGCAGGAUGAAGGCCUUCUGGGUUGUAAACUGCUUUUAUCUGGGAAGAAAAUACCCUUGCGAGGGGAACUGACGGUACCAGAUGAAUAAGCACCGGCUAACUCCGUGCCAGCAGCCGCGGUAAUACGGAGGGUGCAAGCGUUGUCCGGAUUUAUUGGGUUUAAAGGGUGCGUAGGCGGCCUUAUAAGUCAGUGGUGAAAGCCCAUCGCUCAACGAUGGAACUGCCAUUGAUACUGUAAGGCUUGAGUACAGACGAGGUAGGCGGAAUUGAUGGUGUAGCGGUGAAAUGCAUAGAUACCAUCAAGAACACCGAUUGCGAAGGCAGCUUACUAGGCUGUAACUGACGCUGAGGCACGAAAGCGUGGGGAGCGAACAGGAUUAGAUACCCUGGUAGUCCACGCUGUAAACGAUGAUUACUCGAUGUUGGCGAUAAACUGUCAGCGUCUUAGCGAAAGCGUUAAGUAAUCCACCUGGGGAGUACGCCCGCAAGGG
rnacentral:rRNA from 1 species